GACGAACGCUGGCGGCGUGCUUAACACAUGCAAGUCGAACGGAAAGGCCCUGCUUUUGUGGGGUGCUCGAGUGGCGAACGGGUGAGUAACACGUGAGUAACCUGCCCUUGACUUUGGGAUAACUUCAGGAAACUGGGGCUAAUACCGGAUAGGAGCUCCUGCUGCAUGGUGGGGGUUGGAAAGUUUCGGCGGUUGGGGAUGGACUCGCGGCUUAUCAGCUUGUUGGUGGGGUAGUGGCUUACCAAGGCUUUGACGGGUAGCCGGCCUGAGAGGGUGACCGGCCACAUUGGGACUGAGAUACGGCCCAGACUGCUACGGGAGGCAGAAGUGGGGAAUAUUGCACAAUGGGCGGAAGCCUGAUGCAGCAACGCCGCGUGCGGGAUGACGGCCUUCGGGUUGUAAACCGCUUUCGCCUGUGACGAAGCGUGAGUGACGGUAAUGGGUAAAGAAGCACCGGCUAACUACGUG
rnacentral:rRNA from 1 species